GAUGAACGCUGGCGGCGUGCCUAAUACAUGCAAGUCGAGCGAACAGACGAGGAGCUUGCUCCUCUAACGUUAGCGGCGGACGGGUGAGUAACACGUGGAUAACCUACCUAUAAGACUGGGAUAACUUCGGGAAACCGGAGCUAAUACCGGAUAAUAUAUUGAACCGCAUGGUUCAAUAGUGAAAGACGGUUUUGCUGUCACUUAUAGAUGGAUCCGCGCCGCAUUAGCUAGUUGGUAAGGUAACAGCUUACCAAGGCAACGAUGCGUAGCCGGCCUGAGAGGGUGAUCGGCCACACUGGAACUGAGACACGGUCCAGACUCCUACGGGAGGCAGCAGUAGGGAAUCUUCCGCAAUGGGCGAAAGCCUGACGGAGCAACGCCGCGUGAGUGAUGAAGGUCUUCGGAUCGUAAAACUCUGUUAUUAGGGAAGAACAAAUGUGUAAGUAACUAUGCACGUCUUGACGGUACCUAAUCAGAAAGCCACGGCUAACUACGUG
rnacentral:rRNA from 1 species